rnacentral:rRNA from 1 species
CCUACGGGUGGCUGCAGUAAGGAAUAUUGGUCAAUGGACGAAAGUCUGAACCAGCCAUGCCGCGUGGAGGAUGAAGGUCCUCUGGAUUGUAAACUUCUUUUAUAUGGGACGAAAAAAGGCCUUUCCAGGUCGUCUGACGGUACCAUAUGAAUAAGCACCGGCUAACUCCGUGCCAGCAGCCGCGGUCAUACGGAGGGUGCAAGCGUUAUCCGGAUUAAAGGGGGCGUAGGGGUGUUGGGGUGGGUGGGGUGAAAUCCCCGAGCUUAACUUGGGAACUGCCAUUGAUACUAUCAGUCUUGAAUACCGUGGAGGUCAGCGGAAUAUGUCAUGUAGCGGUGAAAUGCUUAGAUAUGACAUAGAACACCAAUUGCGAAGGCAGCUGGCUACACGAGUAUUGACACUGAGGCACGAAAGCGUGGGGAUCAAACAGGAUUAGAUACCCCUGUAGUC